rnacentral:lncRNA from 1 species
GAACCGAGAGUCUUCCCCUCCUCUCCCCUCCCCUAGGACGGCCACCGCAUCCCCGUGCUCACCGCGUCGCGCCCUCGCCGUGCGACGGCUCUGCCUACCGAGCCCAUCGGCCACUGAGCCACCGCGGCUGCCUUGCGCUUCAUCCACCCCUGCAGUCGUCGUGCCGCGCCCUCUCACGCAGCCCCGCGCCCUCACGCAGCCCCGCGCCGCUCGCUGACUCCGCCGGCCGCUGCCCACCUCCGACCAUCGGGGCGGUCGGCGAUUUGCCCGUCCCUGCCCCCUCUACUUAGCCAUGGCCUUGGCCCCGAUUCGGCCGGCCCCGGCCGCCGUCCCUGUAGAACAGGGGGGUUAAUCCCCCCCGUGAUUACUUAAUUUGGGGCAAAUUACCCCCUUGGGUGUAUGACAAAUGGGCCCCAGCCCCUUAGAAU